ACUGUCUUUCCUUCGGAGCAGGCUUCAAAGUUGAACCCAGUUUAGACCAAGAGGAUUAAUUCUUUCUCCCGCAUGCUUCAUUGAAUCUCUCAUUACCAAACUUUGUCUGUAUUGAUGUAAGAUUUGAUUGAAGAUUAGAGCAUUUAGCAAAUCUUGCUUUUCUGCAUGUAUCAGGCCUUUUCAAGCGCAGACCGCGCUGCCCAGUGGUCAAUACCCUUACUUUUAUCCAGUGUCUGCUUCAUUUAAACUUAAUCAACUCCCUCAAUGAACUGGAACAGGGAAACGUCCCUGAGGUAAGAAUGUUGUGCUUUUCUUAGAUAAUUCUUUGCUCCCUCUCCCAAUCCGCUGGCGUUAAACCUAAAAUUGCUCUCUGAUGAACUUAAUCAAUAUGAUAAUGACAAUUGGGGCUGAAUGGCUCGGCCUGUGCUCAGCACGGAAAAGGUAGACGGCUGUGCCCAUUGCCCAAAAGCAACUUCUCCUUUCUCGCCUCUCCUUUUGUGUUCACUUCUCCUACCUUUCUUUCUCUCUCUCCCCCUCUUCCCCCCUCCGUGACACCGACCGCUGUUCACGCUGGAGAAUGAUGCUUCUUUGUGCGGCAGGAGGACUCGUAUGUCACCGCCCGGAGGAGCGGAGCGGAGCGAUUGGCCGGGUGAAUUAUCUGCCUUGUUGCAGUGAAUUAUUUGCGCUGUUUCCUUUCCCAGUCAACAAGUUUCUGAGUGCCAGAGCGAGGAUACGGUGCUGGGUAGUGCAUUGCCGUGCGCUAUAUUUAGAAAGCAGCUGGAAGAGAAAAUGUCCUCAGGAAUCCGGACUGUUUUGUUGUGAAUGGCCCUGCAGUCCCGGCACUGUAAACGCUCUGCAGACGUGUCGGCGCUACCUGGGGGCGCUGGGUGAGCUCGGGCUUGGGGAGCCCCCGCCGACCCCACGGCUCCCCCCGGCCCGAGCAGUGUCCAGGCAGCGGGAGCGGCCGUGGGCAGCGCCGCCCGCCCACCCUGGGUCCAGCCCCCUCUCCGCCCGGGGGAGCCGGCAGGUCGCCCCCAUUUUCCCGUGCCCAGCCCCGGUUCACUGCCCGUUCCGGAGGGACGAGCCUCCCCGCCCG
rnacentral:lncRNA from 12 species